UCUGACUGAUGGCUCCAUACGAGGUGACACCGGGGCCAGCUGAGCUGUCCUUGCAGGACCACACACUUGCAUUUCAGCCUCUUCAUUUCACACUGCAGCUGAACUGCUGAAGAUGCUUGGUUUCCAUGAAGAUGCAGGAUUGUGAACCUGGGUAGCUGCGACACAAACAACACCCAGCCUUUCGCCAACUCUGCUGUGGGUCAGGAGCUUCCAGCAGGGCAGUGCUAAUACAGUUUUCUAACUAUGGAAGAUCUCCUGUGGAGUUGCAUCAUGCUCUGCUGCCCCUAGAACUGUGCACAUAUAUUUGGGAGUGAUGAAGAACUGCAAUGUACUGCUGCAUAUUGCUUUAGUGAUGAGAGAGGCUCUCUGGCAUGUCAUACAGCACCAAAAUCCAUUCCAGUGUUGACAGCAAAAAUCCUUAUCAUUUUUGUAUUUUUUUCCAACACAACUGAAAUCUGUUGUGGAUUCUUUGUAUGCAAAUCCAGGUGGUACUGCAACAGCAAAAACAGCCCUGAAAGCAGUCACCAAGAUAAACUUGGAAAGGGGAACAUUCCUGGUUAUCAUUUUUUUAACAUUUGGUUUUCUUUUUUUAGUUCUGUGCAAGAUACUUCUUUCCUCUCCCUUUCUUACAGUAGUUAAUGUUUKUUCUGGCAGAGCUCUUAUUAUAUGAAUUACAGUUCUUCUUGCAUUUUAUUUGGCUCCAUAUCAAUAUACAUGAAUAAGAGGCAGAAAGUGCUGGAAAUUGUCAUUAACAGUCCUUGUUACUCUGCUCUGGUGUUUCCUGAUGUUGAACCUCGUAUUGCAAAUUGCAAUAUGCCUGUAGUGAUGAUCAGUUCAGGAAGGUGUGCUCAGGAACCCAGGAAAGUAAAGAGAAAUGGAAAACAAAAAGAAACGAAUUCUGAARAUACUUGGACUGAAGGAAUCAAAUUGAAGCAAUAUAUUUUGGGUCCCUGCUGUCUUAGGUUGCUGAAGUUCAAGGAGUAAAGCCUGGUUUCUUUGGAAAAUUUGGCAAGGUUUUUGACAGUGWCUUAAACAGAAGUAGGAUUUGAUCCUCCUGAAGCAGCUUAAGA